UUCCAUAGCGGAGGAAAAGAACCAACAGGGGAUUGCCUUAGUAACGGCGAGUGAAGCGGCAAAAGCUCAAAUUUGAAAUCUGGCACCUUCGGUGUCCGAGUUGUAAUUUGAAGAAGGUAACUUUGGAGUUGGCUCUUGUCUAUGUUCCUUGGAACAGGACGUCACAGAGGGUGAGAAUCCCGUGCGAUGAGAUGCCCAAUUCUAUGUAAAGUGCUUUCGAAGAGUCGAGUUGUUUGGGAAUGCAGCUCUAAGUGGGUGGUAAAUUCCAUCUAAAGCUAAAUAUUGGCGAGAGACCGAUAGCGAACAAGUACAGUGAUGGAAAGAUGAAAAGAACUUUGAAAAGAGAGUGAAAAAGUACGUGAAAUUGUUGAAAGGGAAGGGCUUGAGAUCAGACUUGGUAUUUUGCGAUCCUUUCCUUCUUGGUUGGGUUCCUCGCAGCUUACUGGGCCAGCAUCGGUUUGGAUGGUAGGAUAAUGACUAAGGAAUGUGGCUCUACUUCGGUGGAGUGUUAUAGCCUUGGUUGAUACUGCCUGUCUAGACCGAGGACUGCGUCUUUUGACUAGGAUGUUGGCAUAAUGAUCUUAAGCCACCCGUCUUGAA
rnacentral:rRNA from 1 species